rnacentral:rRNA from 1 species
UAGCGGCGAGUGAAGCGGCAAAAGCUCAAAUUUGAAAUCUGGCACCUUCGGUGUCCGAGUUGUAAUUUGAAGAUUGUAACCUUGGGGUUGGCUCUUGUCUAUGUUUCUUGGAACAGGACGUCACAGAGGGUGAGAAUCCCGUGCGAUGAGAUGCCCAAUCCUAUGUAAGGUGCUUUCGAAGAGUCGAGUUGUUUGGGAAUGCAGCUCUAAGUGGGUGGUAAAUUCCAUCUAAAGCUAAAUAUUGGCGAGAGACCGAUAGCGAACAAGUACAGUGAUGGAAAGAUGAAAAGAACUUUGAAAAGAGAGUGAAAAAGUACGUGAAAUUGUUGAAAGGGAAGGGUUUGAGAUCAGACUCGAUAUUUUGUGAGCCUUGCCUUCGUGGCGGGGUGACCCGCAGCUUAUCGGGCCAGCAUCGGUUUGGGCGGUAGGAUAAUGGCGUAGGAAUGUGACUUUGCUUCGGUGAAGUGUUAUAGCCUGCGUUGAUGCUGCCUGCCUAGACCGAGGACUGCGAUUUUAUCAAGGAUGCUGGCAUAAUGAUCCCAAACCGCCCGUCUUGAACCACGGGACCAUU